GCCACCGUGACAGGGAACGUUACUGCCCCCCACCUCCAGCUAAAGAAGCAUUGGAAAAUGGGGAAGUUCCUGUUGGCUGCCUUAUGGUCUACAACAAUGAGAUCCUAGGAAAGGGGAGGAAUGAGGUGAAUGAAACUAAGAAUGCUACUCGACAUGCAGAAAUGGUAGCAAUCGAUCAGGUCCUAGACUGGUGUCAUCAACACGACAAGGAUCCCGCGGAAGUGUUUGCACACACAGUGUUGUAUGUAACUGUAGAACCUUGUAUCAUGUGUGCAGCUGCCCUGCGCUUGAUGAAAAUCCCACUGGUUGUGUAUGGCUGUCAAAAUGAGCGAUUUGGAGGUUGUGGCUCAGUUUUGAACAUCUCCUCUGCUAACUUAACAGACACUGGGGAACCAUUUCAGUGCAUUGCUGGUUAUCGAGCUGAAGAAGCAGUGGACAUGUUAAAAACCUUCUACAGACAAGAAAAUCCAAAUGCACCGAAAUCAAAAGUACGGAAAAAGGAAUGCCAUAAGUGAUAGUCCUCUACUGAUGGAAAACUGAAAGAUAACAAAAUAAUGAUUUGUGGAAAAAGAUCUCUUCAGUGUUCCCUUUGAUACAGCAUUUGGUGUUGGCCAAGAAGACAUGAAAAGCAUCUAAGGAAAUAGCCUGGAGAGGCUGCUCUGCAUCCUUCACACUGCACAUUAGAUUCACCAAGCAUCAUAACACCAGCUGAGCCGUCAUCCCACCCGAGAAGGAUGAGCAAUAGCCUUCACAAUGUUUGCAAGUCUUUGGGCCAACUUUUCUUUUUAAAAAAAAAACCGUUGUUUAUGUGAUGUUAAACUAUUUACAUAUGAAUUGCUGCUAAUGAGGACUCGCACACUUGGCUUUCCAGCAGACUUGCAACAAGACAAAAAUUAAGGAUACAAUUAUAGUAUGUAGUAUGGCAGAGUAGUAGGCAGAGCACUAAAUGGUUUUUGGGUAAACAAAGAAGUCAGCUGUUGUUUAUGGGUGGGAUGCAGACCAGUUAGGGGUUGUUGGGUUUUAUUUUUAUGAUUACUUGAGAAUUUUAAAAAUAGCAAAUUAACAGGCCUAUAGAUUCUGUAGCAACUUUUCUGAUUAAUGUGAACCUCAAGAUUAGAUGCUAAAUUAUUCUCCAUAAAAGGAACUGCUCUGGAAUUUUCUGAAUGAUAUUUUAGUCUGUCUUUAUAUUCAUACUAAUCAGAGGAUUAUGGACUGUAAUUUAAUUAUUGCAAAUGGUCCAUCAUUGGGUUUUUUGGUGGGGAGAGAGGUAAGAAAAAUCUAGGCUGCAAUUAAUGCUGAAAUGAAACCCUUUUCCUCUACAUCUCUAAAAACAUUUCAAUAGAUUAGGAGCCAGAUGAGACUGAAAGAGUUUAUAAAAUUCUAUUAGAAAGUCAUCUUCAUCCAGAGCUUUUCCAGAGCCCAGAGAUUUUAUGGCUUCUUUUUAUUUUUUCCUCGGCUAUGGGUCUACCUAACAGCUCUAAUUUCCUGAGGAAUUAUAGGUAUUUCCAUUUUAUUUAAGAGACCUUGAGUCUGUUCAGAUGUGGCAACUGACUUAGAUUAAUUAUGUAGGUUUUUAGAACUCAUGAGACAUCACUGAGGUCCAGAGGUUUUAUAACUCAUGCACCAGAUGACCAAGCAGAGAGAUGAUAUUACACACUGUGCUUUCUUUUUCUUAAACUGCACUGCCAGCAGCUUCCUGGCCAUUUCUCUGUGCUCACAGUUUCUCUGUCAUAAUAGGGAAAGACCACAUCCACCAUUUUGUCAGCAAAGGAAUCCUUGCUUUCACUCCUCAAGUAAGUACAACUACAAUGUAAUUUUGUGUCUGGAUUCCAGGGAGCAACAGAACGCCCACCUCAAUAUCACUUCCACAUAGCCACCCCUAUAGAUUACUCAAGCUCCUUUGGUGAGUAAUUUGAAUGAAUGAGGAUGCAUAGUGAGCUCUCAUUGGAAUUCAGAAGCUCUCACAUAUCACGGCGAUUGAGGUGGUAUAAGAGUACCCACUUUAUCAGAAAUUCAGUUGAAUGGGGCCAGAUUGAUGUAUUACCUUACUCCACUAAUCCCAUUGAUUGAUUAUAAAGUACUAUUCAAUGCAAUUAAGGGUAUCAGUCUGGCCUAUAGAAAUGUACUUACCUACUUCACAAUGAAAGAAUUGGGUGGGAAGUGGAAAAUUUUGACAGAGGGAAAAACAGAGCAGAGAAUGGGUAGGAAAAAUUCUAAUAGAACAAUAAAUACAGUGAGCCAAAGUCAUCCCUCAUGUAUUACUUCACCGAAGCCCAGAUUAUAUUCCAUAUGCAGGCCACCUAUUUGUGCCAGGUUAGCAUUUGGAAAGGAAGAUGGUUCUAUUUCUAAUACAUUGGCCACAAGCUUCCACAAGUUUUGCUAACAACAUGUUUGUAAUGAAUCAUCAUUGAGGGAAGAGGAGAGAAAUGGUUUGAGGAAGUUUAAGGAAAAAAUAAAUAUUGUGCUCUCAAACUAGUUGAAGAAAUGAGCUAUGCACUCAGGGGAAUACAGUGGGGCUGAGGAUUCUACUCAUUCCUACUAGCCCUUUUAAAGCUGCUCUGAAGCUACAUCUGAAAGAUAAGUGAGAAGUAGUGGACAUGGCUGGUUUCUGCUUCCCCUGGUAUGUUGAAAUAGUGGAUCCAGCCAGGUGCAGACCCACUGGACAUACCACUACUUUACCAGCUUAGAAUCCCUCUGUCUUUGUGCUACUAUACAUACUGUCACUCCCGAUCCACAAGGGUAGAGCGGAAUCACUUUGUUUCCAGGCCUUUGUGCUGAUGUGUUUUGAGGUCUUGAGUGCCUAUAAAGGAAGGAUUUGACCUUUGAACUCGAGUCUUGCAUGAGCAAAUGGAAACAAGCAAUUCAAGGUCCAUCAUCUCCCCUUGUAAGCAUACAAUCACCUUUUAGAUAUUUAAUUAUUUUCAGUAGGUCAUGUCACUUUCUGAACAAUUAAAUAUUUACUACCUGUACAUUUACUAAGCAAUUCAAAGAGAGACUACAAUACAACUCAACAGCAAGGGGUGACCAGGCAAAUCAUUAAUACCAGUAUAUUAACUUGUGUAAAAUUAGCUGACAUGAAAUCAAUUCCAUGUUCACUUGUUAAAUUGUGUUCCCCUUCAGUACAUUUAAUCUUAAAAAAGAAAAAAGAGGAAAAGACAACUACAGUCCAUAAAUUAUUUCUAAAUAGUGUGCUAUAGAUUGAUGGUAACUAACACUCUCAAUUCUGUAUUUAUAUUAAAAUAACUGUUUCAUAUGCAUACAUACGUAUUAUAGCAAUUAUACCAGCCAAAAAAAUAAAUUUGAUGUAGAUAAUAAAUUAAUGCCUAUUUUACCAUUCAUUAACAUCUUCUCUUUGCUAGGAAAUGCCUUUUUUUAUUCCACGCUUUAUAAGAUUAAUGCAACUACACAAUAUAACCGUAUAAUUUAGCUAUAUAGAUUUCUAAAUACCUAGAACCCAGACAUGAGCAAUGAAACAGAAGUCUAGGCUAUAAUACACUUAAAUCAAUAAUAAACCACUCAUUCUAACCAGAAUUCCACAGAGGACAAAAAAUUAACGUCAAAGUUAAAUCUUUCUAGCUACUGACACUUAUUUGGCUAGAUUCAGUCCCCUGUGAAACGCCAUUAACUUCGAUGGAUUUAAACCAGGAAGAAUAUGGGAUAAAAUUUUCAAAGGCACCUAAAUGAUUUAGGAGUUCAAGCCCUUGAUCUAUUCAGCAUUAGGAUUAGUAAAGCCAGGAAUGGUUUAAGAAAUGGCCAAUGGAAUUGUUUUUCACUUCCAUAUUUCUGCUUUGAAUCCAGACCAUGUUGUCAGUGACUGAAAGUUAUUACCAUCUGUUGGCUGUUCAGUGUCUCAUGUGAAAGGAGUUGGUGGUCAUAUUCCCAUUCCUAAUCGACAAGAGACAAAUAAAAAAAAAAUCAUCAUGGUUGGCAUUCAUUGGUGUAGUCGCACUAGAGAGGCCUGAAUAA